GGAACUAGGAGGCCCCGCCCAGGAAGUCUGGGAGCUGACGUCACUGCCUCCCAGAAGCCAGCUCCGCGGGUGCGGGUCCCGGGAGGUGGGAGGCAGCUCCCCUCCCCACCCCCGGCUGAGCCCCUGCUGGCUGCUCGGGUCUCUGGCUCUCGUCCUCCUCGUCUGACCUCCUGGCCAGCCUCCUGUCUAGGAAGAGAAGGGAAAGACAUCUCCCUCCCCUGCUAAGUUUGCAGAGGAUCAAGGCCUGGCCUGAGCUGGAGGGAAUGGCCCCAGGGAGCUGCAGACCCCCACCUCGGGGAGUCUGGAUUCAGAGGGAAUGGCCCCCGGGAGCAGCCGAGCCCCAGCCCAGGUGAGUGCAGUCCACCCCCAGACCUGACUGUCAUCAGCAAUCAG
rnacentral:lncRNA from 1 species